UACGUAGGGGGCAAGCGUUAUCCGGAAUUACUGGGUGUAAAGGGAGCGUAGACGGUAAUGUAAGUCUGGAGUGAAAGGCGGGGGCCCAACCCCCGGACUGCUCUGGAAACUAUGUUACUAGAGUGCAGGAGAGGUAAGCGGAAUUCCUAGUGUAGCGGUGAAAUGCGUAGAUAUUAGGAGGGACACCAGUGGCGAAGGCGGCUUACUGGAUUGUAACUGACGUUGAGGCUCGAAAGCGUGGGGAGCAAACAGG
rnacentral:rRNA from 1 species